UCCCGCCGGACCUGACUGCUAUCGGAUUGAUACUAAGCCAUGCGAGUCUUUGUAGUAAUACAAGGCAGACGGCUCAGUAACACGUAGUCAACCUACCCUAUGGACAAGAAUAAUCUCGGGAAACUGGGCAUAAUUCUUGAUAGAUCAUAAUGCCUGGAAUGGUUUAUGGUUAAAAUGAUUCGUCGCCAUAGGAUGGGACUGCGGCCUAUCAGCUUGUUGGUGAGGUAAUGGCCCACCAAGGCGAUUACAGGUACGGGCUCUGAGAGGAGAAGCCCGGAGAUGGGUACUGAGACACGGACCCAGGCCCUAUGGGGCGCAGCAGGCGAGAAAACUUUGCAAUGUGCGAAAGCACGACAAGGUUAAUCCGAGUGAUUUCUGCUAAAGAAAUCUUUUGCCAGUCAUAAAACCACUGGUGAAUAAGGGGUGGGCAAGUUCUGGUGUCAGCCGCCGCGGUAAAACCAGCACCUCAAGUGGUCAGGAUGAUUAUUGGGCCUAAAGCAUCCGUAGCCGGCUUUGUAAGUUUUCGGUUAAAUCCAUGUGCUCAACGCAUGGGCUGCCGAAAAUACUGCAUGGCUAGGGAGUGGGAGAGGUAGACGGUACUCAGUAGGAAGGGGUAAAAUCCUUUGAUCUAUUGAUGACCACCUGUGGCGAAGGCGGUCUACCAGAACACGUUCGACGGUGAGGGAUGAAAGCUGGGGGAGCAAACCGGAUUAGAUACCCGGGUAGUCCCAGCUGUAAACGAUGCAGACUCGAUGAUGCAUUGGCAUAAUAGCCAGUGCAGUGUCGCAGGGAAGCCGUUAAGUCUGCCGCCUGGGAAGUACGUACGCAAGUAUGAAACUUAAAGGAAUUGGCGGGGGAGCACCACAAGGGGUGAAGCCUGCGGUUCAAU
rnacentral:rRNA from 1 species